UGCCAGAUAGCUCAGUUGGUAGAGCACCCGACUAGAGAUUCAUAGGGCCCGGUUUCGAAACCCGGUCUGGUCA
rfam:Crassostrea gigas strain 05x7-T-G4-1.051#20 contig9578, whole genome shotgun sequence.